GACGAACGCUGGCGGUGUGCUUAAUACAUGCAAGUCGAACGAUGAGGUCCCUUCGGGGAUACAUCAGUGGCGGACGGGUGAGUAACACGUAGGUAAUCUGCCUCAAGGAGGGGGAUAACACUAGGAAACUGGUGCUAAUACCCCAUAUGUCUUUCGAGAUGAAAGCUCCGGCGCCUUGAGAUGAGCCUGCGGCUGAUUAGCUUGUUGGUGGGGUAAAGCCUACCAAGGCGACGAUCAGUAGCUGGUCUGAGAGGAUGAUCAGCCACAAUGGAACUGAGACACGGUCCAUACUCCUACGGAGGCAGCAGUAGGGAAUUUGCGCAAUGGGCGAAAGCCUGACGCAGCAACACCGCGUGUGGGAUGAAGCUUUUCGGAGUGUAAACCACUGUC
rnacentral:rRNA from 1 species